GGAAGGGCCAUGGCUCAGUUGCAGAGUACAUGAGUUGCAUGCAGGAGAUUUCAGGUUCAAUCAUUGGCAUUUUCAGGCAGGACUGGGAAAGACUUCUGCCAGUCAGUGUAGUCAACACAGAGCCAGAUGGACCUAUGGUAAGACUCAGUAUAUAAGGUCAAUUCAUAUUUCUUCCAGCACCCCUUUUGACUUGCGGAGAGCAUCCACGUCCAUAUUAUAAUCUGGAAAAUGACGGGUCGGGAAUUUAAAGCCAUUGGGAAUAUUCUCCAGUUGCAAACAAGGAAAGAAAAAAUACCUUGGUUUGCAGUUAAUAUUUCUGUGGCAAUUUUACCAUGAAUAAUAAGUUGGAGCCACAUCUCCCAAUCUAUAAAGACAGCCAUUUUGACCUGUUAUAUCUUUUUACAAAUAACCUACACAGAAGUAAUAAAUAAUACAGGCACACCGACAUACUUGUAACACCCCUCAUCUCACACCACAGAUUAAUCCCUGAGCACUUGUCUCAGUUCAUCCCAUACUACAUAUUGCAGAGAGCACUUCUUCAGGGACUGUAUGUUACAUCUAAGUGCUGUGCAAUUGGCUGACGUGCCCUAACUUCUGAAGCAGUUUUCUUAUUAAAAAAAGAGCUAAACAUAUAUCAUGUCACAAUGGAUCCAUGUGUACUUAUUAAGGGAUAUCAACCAAAACACAUUUGGCAACAAUUAUAAUUUGGAUAGUAGGUUAUAUUACUGGAGGGAAUAGAACCACUGUGUUGGGAUUUACAAGGGUCUCUGGUAACGAAGAAAGCUGGAACAUAUCAUACUGGAAAGGGGGUUUCUGAGAUCAAGGAGCAGGCUUUUGUCUUCACUUGGAUACAACUGGACGUCAUAGAAUCAUAGAGUUGGAAGAGACCACAAGGGCCAUCGAGUCCAACCCCCUGCCAAGCAGGAAACACCAUCAGAGCACUCCUGACAUAUGGUUGUCAAGCCUCUGCUUAAAGACCUCCAAAGAAGGAGACUCCACCACACUCCUUGGCAGCAAAUUCCACUGUCAAACAGCUCUUACUGUCAGGAAGUUCUUCCUAAUGUUUAGGUGGAAUCUUCUUUCUUGUAGUUUGGAUCCAUUGCUCCAUGUCCGCUUCUCUGGAGCAGCAGAAAACAACCUUUCUCCCUCCUCUAUGUGACAUCCUUUUAUAUAUUUGAACAUGGCAAUCAUAUCACCCCUUAACCUCCUCUUCUCCAGGCUAAACAUGCCCAGCUCCCUUAGCCGUUCCUCAUAAGGCAUCGUUUCCAGGCCUUUGACCAUUUUGGUUGCCCUCCUCUGAACACGUUCCAGUUUGUCAGUGUCCUUCUUGAACUGUGGUGCCCAGAACUGGACACAGUACUCCAGGUGAGGUCUGACCAGAGCAGAAUACAGUGGCACUAUUACUUCCCUUGAUCUAGAUGCUAUACUCUAUUGAUGCAGGCCCAGAAUUGCAUUGGCUUUUUAGCUGCCGCGUCACACUGUUGGCUCAUGUCAAGUUUGUGGUCAACCAAGACUCCUAGAUCCUUUUCACAUGUACUGCUCUCAAGCCAGGUGUCACCCAUCUUGUAUUUGUGCCUCUCAUUUUUUUUUUGCCCAAGUGCAAUACUUUACAUUUCUCCCUGUUCAAAUUCAUCUUGUUUGUUUUGGCCCAGUUCUCUAAUCUGUCAAGGUCGUUUUGAAGUGUGAUCCUGUCCUCUGGGGUGUUAGCCACCCCUCCCAGUUUGGUGUCAUCUGCAAAUUUGAUCAGGAUGCCCUUGAGUCCAUCAUCCAAGUCGUUGAUAAAGAUGUUGAAUAAGACCGGGCCCAAGACAGAACCCUGUGGCACCCCACUAGUCACUCUUCUCCAGGAUGAAGAGGAACAAUUGAUGAGCACCCUUUGGGUUCGGUCAGUCAGCCAGUUACAAAUCCACUGAGUGGUAGCAUAGUCAAGACCGCAUUUUACCAGCUUCUUUACAAGAAUAUCAUGGGGCACCUUGUCAAAUGCCUUGCUGAAAUCAAGGUAGGCUACAUCCACUGCAUUCCCUUCAUCUACCAGGCUUGUAAUUCUGUCAAAAACGAGAUCAGGUUAGUCUGACAUGACUUAUUUUUCAGAAAUCCAUGCUGACUAUUGGUGAUCACAGCAUUCCUUUCUAGGUGCUCACAGACUGUUUGCUUAAUGAUCUGCUCCAGAAUCUUCCCUGGUAUUGAUGUCAGACUGACUGGGCGGUAAUUAUUUGGGUCCUCUCUUUUCCCCUUUUUGAAAAUAGGGACAACAUUUGCCCUCCUCCAGUCUGCCGGGACUUCGCCUGUUCUCCUGGAAUUCUCAAAGAUGACUGCCAGUGGUUCUGAGAUCACAUCUGCCAGUUCUUUUAAUACUCUUGGAUGCAGUUCAUCUGGCCCUGGAGACUUGAAUACAUCUAAACUAGCCAAGUAUUCUUGUACUAUCUCCUUAGUUAUUCUGGGCUGUGUUUCCUCUGUUGAAUCAUUUGCUCCAAAUUCUUCAGGUUGGGCAUUGUUUUCUUUAUCGGAGAAGACUGAGGCAAAGAAGGCAUUGAGGAGUUCAGCCCUUUCUGUGUCCCCUGUUUGCAUUUCACCAUCUUCUCCUCUGAGUGACCCCACUGUUUCUUUGUUCUUCCUUUUGCUACGAACAUACCCAUAAAAGCCAUUUUUGUUGCUUUUAACCUCUCUAGCAAGCCUGAGUUCAUUCUGUGCUUUAGCUUUUCUGACUUUGUGUCUACACGUGCUGGCUAUUUGUUUGAAUUCCUCUUUGGUGGUUUCCCCCACCACGUUUUGAAUCAAAAUGGCAGUCUCAACCAUUCAAAACUGCACUGAUUUAAACCACUGAUUUAAAUUUGUGGGCUUCUUAAAACUCCCUGGCAAUGCUGGGUAUGAGGCUGCUAGUCCUAUAUAUGUUAUGGGAGGCAGCUCCAAGUAUAUGAAGCAGCAAGGAAGAAAGAACAGAGUCAUUUGAGGAAACAGAAGACUUGUAGGCGGCAAAAAGCAAUGGACCUGGAUAGAGAGGAAUGAACCAGGAGAACUGAGUAAGAGCAAGACCCAGAAAGCCUUUUGUGUUUGCUACUGCUACUUACGCAACAUAUUCCAAAGUGACCCAGGGAAGGAACACAGAAAAGAACCACCUACAGCCCUCUAGCUCCAAGCUGGCCAUAGACACGUAAGUCUCAAUAGCCAGCCCUGGAAAAGAAGCCCUCUUAUUUACCAUAGGAGUUAAAUCAUGCCAUCCCUAGAUUCCAUUUUAUUUAAGAAACGCUUCAAAAACCAAUUUCCCCCCUCUAAAUCCUAUAAACAUUGUCCUAGCUCUGCAAGCCGCCAAGCUUGAUCUUAUCAUAGACGGUGAGCUUGUUUUCUUUAGUUUUUCCACACAGCAAUUGAGCAGAGGCGGGUGGCCCAUUCCUUGCCCCUUAUCGUUUGUCAUUUAUACAGCUCUGCAGGGAACCGGGGCUCCUAUCUCACGUAAGACUCCCUUAUAGCUUCUUUCUGCCGCACAACUUUUUCUCCUUUUUUAAAAAAAAGGGGGGGAGAAAAGAAUCUGGAUCCGCAUUCAAAUGACAUUUAUCAAUAGGCAUCUCCUGAGCUUCCACACAGCAACACAAUGGAAGCUUAGCCCCCAUUAAUGGUCCAAGCUGUUGGGUUCAACAUACAAAGAGGUAAUCCAAUCAUUUUGUCCCCAUCUGGAAAGAUUUCCAUUGCCUUUUUCUCCAAAUUUAAAACUAACCAAAAUGUGCAUGCCGUUCCCAGACAGAGGGAAGUGGUACUCAUUACCCAUAGGAAGAAAAAGCUUCAGCACUGAUUUAAAAGAGGUGAGGGGGAGUACAUGGAACCUACAUUUCCUUCGCUGCCACUGCUUGUUGUUAUAAUUUUUGUAUUGAAGGGCUUUCUCUAACUUUAUGACAUCUCCACCAAUAUUGUGGCGCUUUUAUAAAAUCAGAGUUGGAAGUAUACCAUGGUCAGUGCUACAUCUGAGAGUUCAUUCCUGGCAGGUUGUUAUCCAGCCUCUGCUUAAAUACCUCCAAUGAAUGAAAGCCCGUCUGCCUCCACCUUAUCUAAACAGCUCAUACUCUUAGGAAGUGUCUCAUAAUAUUAAGCAAAACUCUGCUUCCCUGAAUUUCAAGCCAGGGGUUAUAACAAGGCUACUAAGGGAUGUGUCUUGAGGAGUUGGCAUGGACUAAGGAGAGUUCCUAGCACCGAAUAGAUAGACCUGGAGGACCACACUUGGUUCCCAGGUCUGAGUUUCCCCACCCACUUUCUCCAAAGUAAACACAGCUGUGUGUGUGUGUGUGUGUGUGUGUGUGUGUGUCUGUUUGUCUCUACCUAAACUAAAACACAAAAUACAAGAAUGUCCCCAAAGGGAAGGUGACUCAACCCACUGCUCACUUCAGUUGCCCUUCUCUGUAUGUUUUCCAAUGGAUGGGCCGUGAUUAGGACAUAAAUAAAGAGAACAGGAGAGAGAUUAAACCAAAUUGAGGCUGAAAUCAUAUGCAUGCUUACUUUUUUAGAGUAAUCCCCACAGAACAGAGUGGGAAUUAUUUCUGUGUAGUGAUGUAGUGCACUGUGAAUAUUUAAUCCAGAACCAGAAAGCUACUUAACACAAGAUCUGCUUUAGCCAGUUAAUGUUUUAGAAACAAUGCUCAAAGAGACACCUUCAGUCUGGCUAUGCCCUCCAACUCUUUUGAUACACUACACUCCCUGCUCAACAAAAAUUACCUUAAUACAAACAUGAUGAGUGCCAUUCUGAGACACUGGCACAGAUUAACUUUUUUUGAAUCCCAGGGUAAUCUUAGCCUUGGAAAUGAUGUCCCGUGGCAGCAUGCCCUAUAAUUUCACUAUGCAUUAUGUAUUAAACGUAUUUCCCUUUCUAACAGCACCUUUAAUUCCAUUAGAAUUAACUUUGCUCUCCUGUUAAGGAGAAAAGGCUGAGUAAAUGUAAUCAGCCCUGUGAACUGUGAUGACAGUUGCAAACCUGCUGUAGUCUGGAACUUGGUGUGGAGAAUGCAGCUUGCUGCUGAAUGAGACACAGUUGCAGGCAGCCUGAGGAAACAUCUUCAAUCUUGAUGCUUGCCACCCCCCAAAAAACCCAAUUCAAUAGCGAAAAAGUCAUCCAUUCCUGCUUUACUCAAAUAUAUGCUGUUGUUUGAAACUACCCCCUUUUUCUUCUCAGUGUAUCUCCAUUCCUGCUUUACUCAGACCUCUCCCUCUUCCACUCCUCAGCUGCCUCAUAUGUGAGAGAGAUUAUUUAUAUAUUAUUUCACUCCUGGCACCAUGAGUUGUCUUCUACAUGAAGUUCAAGAUGCAAUGUAGUAAUUUGGAGCAGGUAUUUUAUUAACAAGCAAACACCUACAUAUGUACAGCAUCCAUCACUUAACCUGCUCUAAGUGAAUAAAGUAACUGGCAGAUUGCUCUUAAGAGUCUAUUUGUGUUAGAGAUACAGUAGCAUAUAUAUGCACAGGUAGGAGGGCUGCAGAAUUGGAGGGAAGGUGAAAGAAGGAAUUUAGAAUCCUAGAAUCUUAGAGCUGGAAGGGAGCUCAAAGGUCAUCGUUCUAGAGCAGUGG